ensembl:snoRNA SNORA66 Small nucleolar RNA SNORA66
GUGCAAACUCGAUCACUAGCUCUGCAUGAUGUGGCAGAAGCGAAGGGAACCAGGUUUGCGAAAGUAAUUGUGGUGAUAGAAAUGUGUUAGCUUCAGACACUACUGAGGUGGCCCUUUCUAUCCUAGUACAGUC